rnacentral:rRNA from 1 species
UACGGGGGGAGCAAGCGUUGUUCGGAUUUACUGGGCGUAAAGGGCUUGUAGGCGGCCAACUAAGUCCGACGUGAAAUCCCUAGGCUUAACCUAGGAACUGCGUCGGAUACUGGAUGGCUUGAAUCCGGGAGAGGGAUGCGGAAUUCCAGGUGUAGCGGUGAAAUGCGUAGAUAUCUGGAGGAACACCGGUGGCGAAGGCGGCAUCCUGGACCGGCAUUGACGCUGAGGCGCGAAAGCCAGAGGAGCAAACGGG